GUCUGAAAAAAAAUAGAGAAUUAGGGUAUGGAUCUCUUUAUUUUCAGCCCAUCUGUCUAUCACACACAUCUGCCACUGCAUCAGAACAGGAGUUACCUCUGGAUUCAUUUUUCUGUCUGGCAGAAAAGCAGCUAAGGGUUGGGCAGGCGUCUGUGUUAGGCUUUUGAGUCCAGUCCACUACAGUCAAUUUGACUCACCUUUCCCAAAAUCCUCUAUCCAUCUGGACCAGGCAAAGAGAAUUAUUAGAAACUUCUGUUGGGGCUAUGAAGGGAGAUAAGGUGUCUGGUGAAGUGGUGAGGAUGGGGAUUGGAAAAGGCAUGAGUAAGGGAGAAAAGGCAAAAAGAAGGUAAAAAGAAAAAAAAAAAAGCUGGACAAGAAAAUUUUCCUGUGUGUAGAACACUACCCUGGGAUCCCGAAGGCUGAUUCAAGUCAUCCCUCCAGCACUGACCUAGAAUAUACCUUCAGUUAAGUCCUGUAAUUUCUUUGGGUUGUUCUACCCCCUGUCUCCAGCUGCAGAAGGUUGAAGGCAGGAGAGGAAAGAGGAAGGGUCUGGAUGAGGAAGAUCUGUCUGUGCCUCCAUGCCACUAAGCCUGUGCACAGUAGUCACGCGUCUCCCAUCACAUAAGGUUUGCAGUUAUGCAGCUGUGUAGCUCUCUUCCCUGUCUGCCUCAACCAGAUGUGUAAGCUUGUCUUGCUGUAGGAGCAUUUCCUCAUUCUUGUAAUGAGCUUGUGGCCUCAGGCCCCAGCUAUCUUCUGGCUGAGCAUUAGAUUUCCACUGCAGAAGACCAGGUUUGGUCCAUCUUCUCCAUGCCUGGGAAUGGUCUGAGUUCAAUGCCGUGGUGGCCCUUCUUUUCCUGGCUUAGCAGAGAGGGAGGAUCUUUGGGAGGCUGGAAAUGAAUGAGGCCCUGCCGUUUCUGCCAGGAAUGUCUUCAUUGCUUCAUUACUUCUACAUUUGCAUCUCUGGAUAACUUGAUGGAGAAAGCAGGUCAUGGUUUGAUUCUUCGUUAAUGAUAUUCACAAGGCUGACCGUAUGAAGAAAUGAUCAUGCUCUAAGUUGGUUUCCAUUUAAGGAACUUAUCUGCAAGGAAUGGAUGGGUGUUACAGGAAGAUUACAUGGCAGAUGGAGGAAGACAUGGGUUUCUAUUUUGAUGUAAUAGUAGAUAAGAGGAAUUGCACCUCUAAAGCAGCUCACUUGGGAGUGGGAUUGGAGCACAGCAAAUGAGGAGAAUGGACCAGUGGAUCUUCAUCCAGUAUCAAGAGAGGGGCAACACCACUUGGACAGGAGAGUGCCUGGAGGCUGGUAGGGCCAUUUGUCUUCUCCUUUGAUUGAGAGGAAGGUACAGUGUAUCUUGGUAUGUAUGCUCGUGUACGUGUGCUCACUUCUGAUAGAGCGCAAUCACCCAACAAGAACAGCAGAAGUGAGCAACUGUCCUUCUUUCUAUGCAAGGCCCAGGCAGUUUGUAGUCAUCUGUGGAUCCUUGCCUUCAAUUUUCCUAAUCUGUGCUGUAAAAAGUUCUUCCCCAAGCCAAGAAACACAGGCUUGAACCAGUUCAGAGUUUCUGUCAGCAGCAGCCGCCUGCACUAUCAGCGCUGGGCAGGGAGCUGGCAAGAGGCCAGGGCUGUGGCGCUUUCAGCUCUGCUCCUGACUGCAAUGUCUUGAGUGGGUUCAAAGUUGGGAAAAAUGCCUUUGCAUCUGUGAAUAUGAGCUUUUUACUUUUUUCUACAGCCAAUAUGUGUUUCUACAUACAAAUACUGCAAGUCUGGUGCUAGCAGUGCUAUCUGUUACUGUAAUAAAUUAUUCCUAUUAUGCAAAGACCCAGGUAAGUUUAUAAAGAACCAGCCCCAAACUCUAACCUGA